rnacentral:rRNA from 1 species
ACGAAGUUGGAAUUGCUAGUAAUCGUGGAUCAGCAUGCCACGGUGAAUACGUUCCCGGGUCUUGUACACACCGCCCGUCACACCAUGGGAGCUGGUAACACCCGAAGUCAGUAGUCUAACCGCAAGGAGGACGCUGCCGAAGGUGGGAUUAGCGACUGGGGUGAAGUCGUAACAAGGUAGC